ensembl:lncRNA
GAGAAAGUGAAGGUUUUGGAAUACUUUCUAAAGGCACAUGAUAAUUGUUUCUUAAAUAACAUUCUAAUUACCAACAUAUUUUGUACCACAAAGGGUUUCUUGAUUUUGGUGUUUGGAACACUUUUAGACAAAAAGGUUCAAGAAGCCCUUAAAAUAACAUUCCCUUUAAUGAAUGUGUCAUCCAACCAAACAAUGAGCCCAAGUAGUGAUGCAUCAUCAACCAUUGGACUAGAAACAUUUAAGACAUGAGGAAGAAGAAAUUCAGAUGUUUUCAAUUUUUCUGUGCAAUCAGAUUUUCCCAUUAGAGUAAGUUCUAAAGAAUAGGAUUUUUUUAAUAACAAAUAAAAAAUGUCUCUGCAACAGGUAGAUGUAGCUUUAUCCCCAGCAAGAAUUUGUUUUUCCAUGUGCCAUGCUGAACUCUGAGGUUACGUAAUAUACAGUUAUGUUCUGAAAUAAUUGGACACUGACACAAGUUUUGUUAUUUGGUCCAUUUACCAAAAUAUAUUCAAGUUACAGCUGAAUAUGAAAUGAAUGUGCUUAAAGUGCAGUCUCUCACCUUUAAUUUGGGGGUAUUCACAUCCAAAUUGGAGUAAGAGUUUUGGAAUUACAGCUCUUUAUGUAGCCCCCUCUGUUUCAAUGGAUCAAAAGUAAUUGGAUGAUUGACUCAAAAGCUAUUUUGUGGACAGCUGUGUGCUGUUCCUUCAUUUUUUCAUCAAUUAAGCAGUUAAAAGGCCUGAAAUUGAUUCCAGGUGUGGCAUUUGCAUUUGGGAGCAGUUUCUAUGAACCCAGAACAUGCAGUCAAAGGAGCUCUCAACAAAAAACAAAAAAACUCACUGGUGCCCUUUGAAACACAAAAAGGCCUGGACAUCCACAGAAGACAACAAUGGUGGAUGAUUGUAGGAUCCUUUCCAUGGUAAAGAAAAAACCCUUCACAACAUCCAGCCAAAUGAAGAACACUCUCCAGGAGGUAGGCAUAUCAUUAGCCAAGUCUACCAUAAAGAGAAGACUUCACGAGAGCAAAUACAGAGGGUUCACCACAACGUGCAAACCAUUCAUAAGCCUCAAGAAUAGAAAAGCCAGAUAAAACCAAAAAACAUUGAAAAAAAGCCAGCCCGGUUUUGGAACAGCAUUCUUUGGACAGAAGAAAUUAAGAUCAACCUGUACCAGAAUGAUGGGAAGAAAAAAGUAUGGCUUCCAAUGGCACGGGGUCACUCAUGUUUAUUGAUGAUGUGACGGAAGACAGAAGCAGACGGAUAAAUUCUGAAGUGUAUAGGGAUAUAUUGCCUGCUCAGGUUCAGCCAAAUUUAGCAAAGUUGACUGGACGGCGCUUCACUUUACAGAUGGACAAUGACCCAAAACAUACUGCGAAAGCAACCCAGGAGUUUUUUAAGGCAAAGAUGUGGAAUAUUCUUCAUUGGCCGAGUCAAUCACCUGAUCUCAACCUGAUCGAGCAUGCAUUUCACUUGCUGAAAGACCCACAAACAAACAACUGAAGACAGCUGCAGUAAAGGCCUGGCAAGUCAUCACAAAGGAGAUGUCCGUGUAUUCCAGACUUCAAGCAGUCAUUGCCUGCAAAGGAUUCUCCACAAAAUGAACGUUUUAUUUAUGUUGUGUUAAUUCAUCCAAUUACAUUUGAGCCCCUGAAUUAAGGGUACUUUGUGAAUGAAAAUGGUUGAAAUUCUUAAACGUUUCAUAUGAAACGAUUACGUAUCAUACAUAUACGAUACGAUUGUUCAACCCCUUGAAUUAAAGCUGAAAGUCUAUUAAAGCUGAUCAGCUAUUGGUGCUUCCAUCACAAGCAAAAACAAAACCUUUGGACUUGUUAUAUUACGCCAUGUACUCAUACAUUCUAAAGUCAUAUAAUGUCACCCAUUAUCUGGUUAAGAAGGCAUAGUGAAAAGAGUUGCAUUCAUUCAUUUUCAAUAAUUUUAUGCUCAUAGGCUGUACAUCUACAGUGGAUAUAAAAAGUCUACACACCCCUGUUAGAAUGCCAGGUUCUUGGGAUGUAAAAGAAUGAGACAAAGAUAAAUCCUGUCAGAACAUUUUCCACCUUUAAUGUGACCUAUAACGAGAAAAAUUUAAUGUAAAAAACUAACAGAAAUCUUUGAGGGGGAAAAUAAAUAAAAAGAUCAUAAAGACCUAUUAUAUCCACUGUAUAAAUGUACUAUACUGCUACUAUACCAAUGCUACAUAGUCCCCCAAUUUUAUGAUACAAAGGUUUUUGUAAAGAUUAACAUUAUGUAUAAUAAAGCAG